rnacentral:tmRNA from 1 species
GGGGCUGACUUGGAUUUCGACAGAUUUCUUGUCGCACAGAUAGCAUGCCAAGCGCUGCUUGUAAAACAGCAACAAAAAUAACUGUAAACAACGCAGAUUACGCUCCAGCUUACGCUAAAGUUGCGUGAGUUAAUCUCCUUUUGGAGCUGGACUGAUUGAAAUUUCUAGCGUUUUAAUCACUCCAUAACCUUAAGCUAGACGCUUUUAAAAGGUGGUUCGCCUUUUAAACUAAGAAAAAGAACUCUUGAAACUACCUUAAGGUUUUAGAAAAUUGGACCAAAGCUAGUUUUAAGGCUAAAAAGCUAACCAAUUUUCUAAGCAUUGUAGAAGUUUGUGUUUAGGACAAGAUUUUUGGACUGGGGUUCGAUUCCCCACAGCUCCACCA